GAGGUAGUGACAAGAAAUAACAAUACGGGGCUUAAUGUCUUGUAAUUGGAAUGAUGGGAAUUUAAACCUCUUCCAGAGUAUCAAUUGGAGGGCAAGUCUGGUGCCAGCAGCCGCGGUAAUUCCAGCUCCAAUAGCGUAUAUUAAAAUUGUUGCAGUUAAAAAGCUCGUAGUUGAAUUUCUGCUGCAUUACAUAUCUCUUGUUUGAGUUUGUUUUUGUGGCUUAUUUCGGUUUGAUUUUUCUUUCCGGAUGAUUACUUUGAGAAAAUUAGAGUGCUCAAAGCAGGCUUUUGCCUUGAAUAGUUUAGCAUGGAAUAAUAAAGUAGGACUUUGGUUCUAUUUUGUUGGUUUUAGGUACCAAAGUAAUGGUUAAUAGGAACAGUUGGGGGCAUUCGUAUUUAACUGUCAGAGGUGA
rnacentral:rRNA from 1 species